GCCAAUACAGAAGUUGGGGGGAAGAAGACGAAUAUACAAAUUGGUGGCUGCUGGAAUUUAUAGGGAGAGAUACAUACAAAUUAGUGGCCAUCGGUCGGCUAUAAUUCAUUGAAAAGGCUGUCAACCUACUAGAAUUACACACGCCAAUCGGAUUAAUAGAGGCUGCCUUGGGGAAUUGAUUUUAAAGACAUUAAAAGAGGCAGUUGGGAGAAAUUGGAAGGAAAAUAAACUACAAAUUAAUGGUUGCUUUUGAGGAGAAAUUGAGAGACAACUACUACCGAUGGGAGUAAAGAAACAGUUGGAAUUUCACUUUUUUUUUGGAGUCAACAAAAUCGGCAGCUAGGAGGAGAAAAGAAGGAAUACUUGGGCGGUUGCUUGUAAUAAGAAAUUGAGUAACAUUUGGGCAUUGUUUUGGCAGUCAAAUAUUGUGGCUGAACUUAAUAUAUAAAGCAAUUAGAGAAGUCAAAAUUGGAGCAGAAAACAUGGAAGCUACUGCUGGAAGCCUGGUAUUGGCAUACACAUGCACAGAGGCUAAGAAACAUUGAGGAAUUAAUCAAUUUCCAUCAAUUUUUGGUGAUUUCCUUCCACUUUUAUUUAUUUAAUUCCAAUAUUAUGCUGGGCUAAAUAUUUUCCUGUAUUGGAUGGAUAAUAAAUUUGUUUAAUUCUUAGUUUUUAAUUCGAGACUUUGUAUUUUAUCUUAAUUCUU
rnacentral:lncRNA from 1 species